rnacentral:rRNA from 1 species
UACGUAGGGUGCAAGCGUUUGUCCGGAAUUAUUGGGCGUAAAGAGCUCGUAGGCGGUUUGUUGCGUCGGCUGUGAAAUCCCGAGGCUCAACCUCGGGUCUGCAGUCGAUACGAGCAAACUAGAGUGUUGCAGGGGAGACUGGAAUUCCUGGUGUAGCGGUGAAAUGCGCAGAUAUCAGGAGGAACACCAGUGGCGAAAGCGGCUUCCUGGUCCAGCACCGACGUUCAGGCACGAAAGCGUGGGGAGCAAACAGG